rnacentral:rRNA from 1 species
CCCUUAGAUGUUCUGGGCCGCACGCGCGCUACACUGAUGCAUUCAACGAGCACACGCUUGGCCGAGAGGUCAGGCUAAUCUUUGAACGUGCAUCGUGCUGGGGAUAGAUGAUUGCAAUUAUUCAUCUUCAACGAGGAAUUCCUAGUAAACGCAAGUCAUCAGCUUGCAUUGAUUACGUCCCUGCCCUUUGUACACACCGCCCGUCGCACCUACCGAUUGAAUGGUCCGGUGAAAUUCUCGGACGUGAACGACAGAUGUUCAUUCGGAUGUCGUUUGUGAAAGUUAAUUAAACCUUACCAUUUAGAGGAAGGUGAAGUCGUAACA